rnacentral:miRNA from 1 species
CUCUCAUGGGACUGUGUGCAGC